UUCUUCGGAAGAGAGCGGCGGACGGGUGAGUAACGCGUGGGUAACCUGCCCUGUACACACGGAUAACAUACCGAAAGGUAUGCUAAUACGAGAUAAUAUACUUUUAUCGCAUGGUAGAAGUAUCAAAGCUUUUGCGGUACAGGAUGGACCCGCGUCUGAUUAGCUAGUUGGUGAGGUAACGGCUCACCAAGGCGACGAUCAGUAGCCGACCUGAGAGGGUGAUCGGCCACAUUGGAACUGAGACACGGUCCAAACUCCUACGGGAGGCAGCAGUGGGGAAUAUUGCACAAUGGGCGAAAGCCUGAUGCAGCAACGCCGCGUGAGCGAUGAAGGCCUUCGGG
rnacentral:rRNA from 1 species